ACUCAAAGGAAUAGACGGGGACCCGCACAAGCGGUGGAGCAUGUGGUUUAAUUCGACGAUAAGCGAGGAACCUCACCCAGACUUGACAUCUAGCUGCAGACCCUUAGAAAUAAGGGAGCCUUCGAGGGUGCUAGACAGGUGCUGCAUGGUUGUCGUCAGCUCGUGUCGUGAGAUGUACCGUUAAGUCGGAAAACGAGCGCAACCCCUAUCCUAUGUUUUAUUUGUCAUAGGAAACUGCCCGCUUUAAGUGGGAGGAAGGCGGGGAUGACGUCAAAUCAGCAUGGUCCUUACGUCUGGGGCGACACACGUGCUACAAUGGGAAGUACAAUGGGACGCCAAACCGCAAGGUGGAGCAAAUCCCACAAAACUUUUCUCAGUUCGAAUUGGGGUCUGCAACUCGACCCCAUGAAGUCGGAAUCGCUAGUAAACGCGCAUCAGCCAUGACGCGUUGAAUACGUUCCCGGGUCUUGUACUCACCGCCCGUCACACCAAGAGAGUCGGCAAUACCCGAAUAUCGAUGUAUGUCGGUAGAAGGUAGGGUUGGCAAUAAGGGUGAAGUCGUAACAAGGCAUCUGUAGCGGAAGCUGUGGAUGGAUCACCUCCUUUCUAGGGAG
rnacentral:rRNA from 1 species